CAUGACUGAGCGUCACUAACAACCAUAAUCAUAGCCAUGAGUUCAUCAUAGAUUCACAGUUUCACACUGUCACUAACAACCAUAACAGUUAACACAGAUGACAGAUCCAUCACAGAUUAGACUUGAAGUAUCAGUCCAUCACAGAUUCACACAUUAACAGUUAACAUUGAUAAUAGUCUACGAGACUACGACAGUUUAUACUUUAUAUUCUUAAUAAAGAACACUGAAGGACUCAAAAGUUUGAAGGACUCAGUCACUCAGACCAUCAGUUUGAAGUUUGAACUCUUCUUGUAAGACCUACAUUUCAAAAUAUGAAAAUACCAUCAGUCGGACAGUCACUGAAGAAUCUGUGCUUGAAGAACCUGUGAGCUCAAAUAUGAAAACACACUUACAGACUUAUUGUUACUAGUUGCUUCCAACCACACAGUUUGGGAAUUCCACAUAUUCAUUAUCAUCAUCAUUUUCUCCUCCCUGUAAUCAGUCAAAAAUAAAUAUUAAAUAUGUUUAGAA
rnacentral:lncRNA from 1 species